rnacentral:rRNA from 1 species
AUUGAACGCUGGCGGCAGGCCUAACACAUGCAAGUCGAGCGGAUGAAGGGAGCUUGCUCCUGGAUUCAGCGGCGGACGGGUGAGUAAUGCCUAGGAAUUUGCCUGGUAGUGGGGGAUAACGUCCGGAAACGGGCGCUAAUACCGCAUACGUCCUGAGGGAGAAAGUGGGGGAUCUUCUGACCUCACGCUAUCAGAUGAGCCUAGGUCGGAUUAGCUAGUUGGUGGGGUAAAGGCCUACCAAGGCGACGAUCCGUAACUGGUCUGAGAGGAUGAUCAGUCACACUGGAACUGAGACACGGUCCAGACUCCUACGGGAGGCAGCAGUGGGGAAUAUUGGACAAUGGGCGAAAGCCUGAUCCAGCCAUGCCGCGUGUGUGAAGAAGGUCUUCGGAUUGUAAAGCACUUUAAGUUGGGAGGAAGGGCAGUAAGUUAAUACCUUGCUGUUUUGACGUUACCAACAGAAUAAGCACCGGCUAACUUCGUG